AAAAUCUCUCUUAAUUUGAAAAACGAUCAUCAACCAAACUCAUCAUUCUCUCUCCUUUGCUCUCCACCCUCCAACUUUUUCCCUUCUAUCUUCCCUUUACUAUUCUCCGACGGCGGUGGCACCACCGCUUCCUCCUUCCUCUUUUCUCAUUUUUUUCCUUUCUUCUUCACCGACUCUCCUUCUCUUUCCCUUCUCUUCGCCGAUCUCACAAUGACCACCUUCCUUCCCUUUCACCUUGCAAUGGUUGCGACGGGUCGCCGCAUCCUCCACCUUUUUCUCACUUACAACAGCGGCGAUGAAGAAAAAAAAGGGUAAAACAAUGGAUCCUCCUUUUUACUCCUCUCUUUUUCUGUUUUAAAAUCGGAUUCGGGCUUGUAUGACGUCGGAGGAUACUUCCAGCGACAUGGAAGUCCCGAUCUACAGAUCUAGCAAUAUUCCGCUUUCUGACUCUUGCUUUCUCUAGUUUUUUGUUGUUUUGUUUUGUUUCUUUUUUUAGGGUUUGAAAUCGGUGAAGAGAAAAGAGGAUGGGACCUAACCGCCGACAAUGCAGCCAGCGGCUAGAGAUGAGACAGACAUAGAGGGGUAAAGUCAGGUAAAAAAUUUUGUUUUAUUUAUUUUAUUAAUCUCUGUUUAGUAGAUAAUCAAACUAAUUUUUUUGUUCUCUCCAGACUUACAAAAAUGGGUAGAUUUGAUUUGCUCAAAAAAAAAUAAAAGAAAAAGGAAAAACUGUCUUUAAAAGAUAAACUAACACUUUGGAUUGUUCUGAUUUUAUUAGGUAAAAAAUAAAGAUCUUCUCAUUUGAUUAGGUUGCUAGAAGUACAUUAAAACUUCACUAACUUGUUAUUAAAACGAACUCAAAAUUCUGAAUGCUAUAUAAAAAAAACUCUUCUACUUGAAAAUUUGAUUAUCUUAUCACUUUUAAUAAAAUUCCAGCAAUGUUUUCUUUCAACAAAAGCUUCUGUUUUGCUCUAUUUUAGGGUUGUAUUUUAGGUCAUUUCGUUAUUCUUUGGUUCCUUGGCAUAAAUGGGUGUGAAAAUGAUAAUAGGUUAUCAUUUGUUCCUUUGUUAAUAUGUUUGUCAAUAACUUCUAUUUGAUUUCAGAAGCAUAUUUCACUCAUUAACUCACUGUUUGUUAAGGUGAACAUUUAUCCACUUAGUUGUAAUGAACACGAAUUUACGAAUGAAAAUCGUGACAUAACAUAUAAUUUCUAACUAGCAUGCUUAUAUGAACAAGAAUAUGAAUGAUGCAUGAAUAUGAAAAAUUAGGAAGUCCUAGAAAUACCGACCUUCAAAAAAUUAAUUUUUGCACUUCUUUUUUUGAUAGUGUUGGUGGGAAAAUGUAAUCUUUCUGAGGAAAACAACACUGCUUUUUGUGUGGUCCUGAUUGUGUCUAUUUUAUAUACUGAAAUGGCUGCUGCCUUUAUUAUCUUCCAAUCUGAUUUCAAUAGCCAAAUCUGAUAUAAAAAGGGAGGUGGCUGCCUUAUGAAGAAUAACAGAAUCAGGCCUGAAAUUUGGUCUGAUAUUAAAUUGGACCGAAAAAUGCAUCAAAUGUCGCAACGGUUCGUUGAUUGGUUUAGUUUGCUGAAUUUCAAGAUAGUAGGCUUGGAGUUCAUUUAUUUUGGUCGUUCCAUUUUAGAACGAUCUGAAAUAACUAGUUUAGAACAAUCAACGUCGUAAGAAAUAUGACUUAAAAACAUACCACCUAACUACCAAUAUAACCGUAACAUGUACUCUAACUAAUUUGAGUAAGAAAAAUCGUGACACAGAAGUUAAUGGAUAAGAUCGAUUCGAUACUAAAUCCUCGUUAGAGAUGCUAGGGUUAUUUAAUGAAAUGAUAUUGAUGCGAAUUCCAUACCCGGACGAAAUUUAGUUACUACACAUUUAAUCGUAAUACUUCUAAAGUUGCAGCUCCCUUUGAUUGGGUUCAUAUGAAUAUAUGGGGUCCUUUGAACACUUGACUCAUGAUGGUUGUGUUUAUUUUCUUACUAUUUUGGAUGACCACAGUAGUUGUGUCUCGGUUUUUCUUAUGAAGCACAAAAGUGAAAUUUGUAAUUUUAUUCCAGCUUUCGGUUAUAUGGUUACUUAAUUUCAUUCUCGUGUUAAGAUCAUCUGAUUCAAUCAGGGUGAAGAGUUCUAAAUGCAUUCUUUCUUCGCUGACUUUAGUUUCCUCCACCAAACUAGUGUAGCUGUUGCUUCCCAGAAUCACAGAGUACACAAACACCAACACUUAUUAACGCUUUCAAAGCGUUUUAUCUAAUCAAUCGACUUUCCACUCCUACUUCCUAAUAAAACCUCUUAUGGAAUGCUUUACCAUACGUCUCUAGUUUAUAUUAUCUUCGAGUCUCUGGUAGUCUAAUUUAUGCCAGUAGUAGGCAGUGAGAGUGGACGUGUGUUACGGUGUAGGCUAAUUAUGUUAGCUAGUUAUUAUAUGCUGGUAGCUUAGUCCAUACAGUGUGAUGUAUAUAGACUAUCCUCUUCUGUAAAUUUCAUUAUAAUAAUUAGUUCAAACUUCUCUUCUUCUCCCGUCGUUGUCGUCAAUCAUCACUCAAGAGUUAUCUGUAAAUCUCGUCCCCAGUCAGCUCAGAGCUCAUCGACUAGAGUACAAAAGGUAGAGAUCAACCACAAGUUGGAGUACAAAAACUUGUUUUUCUCGUCUCUCUGUUUGAGUCAUUAUUGUAUUAGUUGUUGCCUUUUGCUUAAUUGGUCCCCAUUCUCUAAUUCAAAUGAUAAUGCAUUGUUUGAGAUGAACAACUAAUACAAGACAAUACAUUCUUGCAUGUUGUUGAGAUUAUUUUGUUAUGUUUUAUGGCUAAUUAGUGGAAAUUGUCUCUUAAAUUUGGGUCAAAUCACAAAUUGAUUCUCAUUGUAUCAAAAGUAAUAACAUCGUCCAUUUUGUUAUCGGAUCUAACUAAUACGUACUUCCGCCAGUCUCCGUCUAAACGUCAGUUAAAAAAAUGCUGAUGUGUCAUCGUCUUGUGAUCCACUCCAUAUGACGUGGCACUUUCCACAUCAGCUAAUAGCACGAUUAUUGGUAGCCAUUUUGAACCCAUUUUGACUGAUUUUUUACUCGAUUUGACCGACUUUUGAGUCACUUGUGUGAUUGGUUGGAAGAAACAAGGAUUUGGCGUUAUGUUUUUUUGAACAGCCAGUUUCAGUCUGUUCGACUUGCUUUUUCUAUUGAAAACACUUUGUUUAUUUUAUUUUUUUGGGAGUGUGGUGGGAUUGGGAUGCCUGUUUGGGGAAUUAGGGAAUGUUGGUACGAAAGCGGUCGAUUUUCUUCUUCCUAUUUUUCUUCCCGAUUUGUGGUCCAAAAUCCUGUUGUUUUAUAGUGAAAAUGGCGGUCGUUGCCGCCCAUUUUAACCAAUUAAUUGCUGGCAGCAAUUCUGACAAAAAUCAGAGGUGGCUGCAUUUUGGAAGAAACAGUAUCCGGCCUGGUAUUAAAUUGGGCCGAAAAAAUGCAUCAAAUGUCGCAAUAGUUUUUUGAUUGGUUUAGUUUGCUGAAUUUUGAGAGGGCAGAUUUGGGGUUCAUUCGUUUUGACCGUUCCAUUUUAAAAUGAUUUGAAAUAACUGGCUUAGAAUAAUCAACGUCGUAAGAAAUAUGACUUAAAAACAUACCACCUAACUACCAAUAUAACCGUAACAUGUACUCUAACUAAUUUGAGUAAGAAAAAUCGUGACACAGAAGUUAAUGGAUAAGAUCGAUUCGAUACUAAAUCCUCGUUAGAGAUGCUAGGGUUAUUUAAUGAAAUGAUAUUGAUGCGAAUUCCAUACCCGGACGAAAUUUAGUUACUACACAUUUAAUCGUAAUACUUCUAAAGUUGCAGCUCCCUUUGAUUGGGUUCAUAUGAAUAUAUGGGGUCCUUUGAACACUUGACUCAUGAUGGUUGUGUUUAUUUUCUUACUAUUUUGGAUGACCACAGUAGUUGUGUCUCGGUUUUUCUUAUGAAGCACAAAAGUGAAAUUUGUAAUUUUAUUCCAGCUUUCGGUUAUAUGGUUACUUAAUUUCAUUCUCGUGUUAAGAUCAUCUGAUUCAAUCAGGGUGAAGAGUUCUAAAUGCAUUCUUUCUUCGCUGACUUUAGUUUCCUCCACCAAACUAGUGUAGCUGUUGCUUCCCAGAAUCACAGAGUACACAAACACCAACACUUAUUAACGCUUUCAAAGCGUUUUAUCUAAUCAAUCGACUUUCCACUCCUACUUCCUAAUAAAACCUCUUAUGGAAUGCUUUACCAUACGUCUCUAGUUUAUAUUAUCUUCGAGUCUCUGGUAGUCUAAUUUAUGCCAGUAGUAGGCAGUGAGAGUGGACGUGUGUUACGGUGUAGGCUAAUUAUGUUAGCUAGUUAUUAUAUGCUGGUAGCUUAGUCCAUACAGUGUGAUGUAUAUAGACUAUCCUCUUCUGUAAAUUUCAUUAUAAUAAUUAGUUCAAACUUCUCUUCUUCUCCCGUCGUUGUCGUCAAUCAUCACUCAAGAGUUAUCUGUAAAUCUCGUCCCCAGUCAGCUCAGAGCUCAUCGACUAGAGUACAAAAGGUAGAGAUCAACCACAAGUUGGAGUACAAAAACUUGUUUUUCUCGUCUCUCUGUUUGAGUCAUUAUUGUAUUAGUUGUUGCCUUUUGCUUAAUUGGUCCCCAUUCUCUAAUUCAAAUGAUAAUGCAUUGUUUGAGAUGAACAACUAAUACAAGACAAUACAUUCUUGCAUGUUGUUGAGAUUAUUUUGUUAUGUUUUAUGGCUAAUUAGUGGAAAUUGUCUCUUAAAUUUGGGUCAAAUCACAAAUUGAUUCUCAUUGUAUCAAAAGUAAUAACAUCGUCCAUUUUGUUAUCGGAUCUAACUAAUACGUACUUCCGCCAGUCUCCGUCUAAACGUCAGUUAAAAAAAUGCUGAUGUGUCAUCGUCUUGUGAUCCACUCCAUAUGACGUGGCACUUUCCACAUCAGCUAAUAGCACGAUUAUUGGUAGCCAUUUUGAACCCAUUUUGACUGAUUUUUUACUCGAUUUGACCGACUUUUGAGUCACUUGUGUGAUUGGUUGGAAGAAACAAGGAUUUGGCGUUAUGUUUUUUUGAACAGCCAGUUUCAGUCUGUUCGACUUGCUUUCUCAAUGUUUCAUUGAGCUUGCAGGUAUGCAAUGGAUAGAGAACUACAAGACGAUUCCAACCAGACCAACCGGAGCUCAAUCGGAGAUCGGACGAGGGAGAUACGAGCAAUCGAAGACGAAACUCUCGGGCUGGAAAUGGGGCCACACGGCGUGUGGAGCCCGUGUAGAGGCUACAGACCAUGGCUUUUAAGGCCAAAAUUGAGGAAGAGGCAUCAUAACUUCAACUACAUCCAUUCCAUCAUCUCACCUACGAUUUCCCCUCUUCUCCCACCAUUUUUAGAGCCCUAGAUGAGUAGAUUGAGUAGCAAUUGAAAGUCUUGGAGCUAGCUUAGAUUGGGUGGAACUUGGAGUUAAGAUUGAGGAUCAAGGAAUCAUCACCUUCAAGCCUUAUACCUAGAUGUCAAGAAUGGUGUUUGUAACCUCUAUUUCUCCUUUGAGUUUUGUCAUGGUAGGCUAGUUUUUAUUGUUGCUAGGCUAGAGAUGAUGUUGUUGCAAGGAUGAUCCCCUCAUGAUGAGGGGUUGGAAACACUUGGAUGCUUAUUAUGAUAAUGAUGUUCUUGGAUUAUGGUGUUUUCAACGUAGCUAGUUUAUGUCAUGGCUCGAAUUAGGUCUAAUCAAUACUCUCCUCUGCAU
rnacentral:lncRNA from 1 species